UACAGAGGGUGCGAGCGUUAAUCGGAAUUACUGGGCGUAAAGCGCGCGUAGGCGGUUUUGCAAGUCGGAUGUGAAAUCCCCGGGCUUAACCUGGGAACUGCAUUCGAGACUGCAUUGCUAGAGUAUGGGAGAGGGAAGUGGAAUUUCAGGUGUAGCGGUGAAAUGCGUAGAUAUCUGGAGGAACACCGGUGGCGAAGGCGGCAUCCUGGACCGGCAUUGACG
rnacentral:rRNA from 1 species